rnacentral:rRNA from 1 species
AGAGUUUGAUCCUGGCUCAGAUUGAACGCUGGCGGCAUGCCUUACACAUGCAAGUCGAACGGCAGCACGGGAGCAAUCCUGGUGGCGAGUGGCGAACGGGUGAGUAAUAUAUCGGAACGUGCCCAGUCGUGGGGGAUAACGCAGCGAAAGCUGUGCUAAUACCGCAUACGAUCUCUGGAUGAAAGCGGGGGACCUUCGGGCCUCGCGCGAUUGGAGCGGCCGAUAUCAGAUUAGCUAGUUGGCGGGGUAAAGGCCCACCAAGGCGACGAUCUGUAGCUGGUCUGAGAGGACGACCAGCCACACUGGAACUGAGACACGGUCCAGACUCCUACGGGAGGCAGCAGUGGGGAAUUUUGGACAAUGGGCGCAAGCCUGAUCCAGCAAUGCCGCGUGCAGGAUGAAGGCCUUCGGGUUGUAAACUGCUUUUGUACGGAACGAAAAGGUUGCUUUUAAUAAAGGCGGCUCAUGACGGUACCGUAAGAAUAAGCACCGGCUAACUACGUGCCAGCAGCCGCGGUAAUACGUAGGGUGCGAGCGUUAAUCGGAAUUACUGGGCGUAAAGCGUGCGCAGGCGGUGAUGUAAGACAGAUGUGAAAUCCCCGGGCUCAACCUGGGACCUGCAUUUGUGACUGCAUCGCUAGAGUACGGUAGAGGGGGAUGGAAUUCCGCGUGUAGCAGUGAAAUGCGUAGAUAUGCGGAGGAACACCGAUGGCGA